rnacentral:sRNA from 1 species
CACGGUGACCGGCGUAUCUGUCCCAAACCCGGCUUCUGCCAGCCAGUCGCCUUUAAGAUGCAGGCUGGGUGUGCGGCUGUAAUAGGUGGUCAUGCCGGUAGCGCGUUUAAUAUGCUGGAUACU